CACGUAGGGGGCGAGCGUUGUCCGGAUUUAUUGGGCGUAAAGAGCUCGUAGGCGGCUAAGUAAGUCAGGUGUGAAAACUCCAGGCUCAACCUGGAGACGCCACCUGAUACUGCUUUGGCUAGAGUCCGGUAGGGGAGCAUGGAAUUCCUGGUGUAGCGGUGAAAUGCGCAGAUAUCAGGAGGAACACCAGUGGCGAAGGCGGUGCUCUGGGCCGGAACUGACGCUGAGGAGCGAAAGCAUGGGGAGCAAACAGG
rnacentral:rRNA from 1 species